UUGAACGCUGCGGCAUGCCUUACACAUGCAAGUCGAACGGCAGCACGGGAGCAAUCCUGGUGGCGAGUGGCGAACGGGUGAGUAAUAUAUCGGAACGUGCCCGGUCGUGGGGGAUAACGUAGCGAAAGCUACGCUAAUACCGCAUACGAUCUACGGAUGAAAGCGGGGAUCGCAAGACCUCGCGCGAUUGGAGCGGCCGAUAUCAGAUUAGGUAGUUGGUGAGGUAAAGGCUCACCAAGCCGACGAUCUGUAGCUGGUCUGAGAGGACGACCAGCCACACUGGGACUGAGACACGGCCCAGACUCCUACGGGAGGCAGCAGUGGGAAUUUUGGACAAUGGGCGCAAGCCUGAUCCAGCAAUGCCGCGUGCAGGAUGAAGGCCUUCGGGUUGUAAACUGCUUUUGUACGGAACGAAACGGUGAGCUCUAAUACAGUUUGCUAAUGACGGUACCGUAAGAAUAAGCACCGGCUAACUACGUG
rnacentral:rRNA from 1 species